GUUGGACAAACGAUACAAAGGUACCGUAAACCUCUGACUAUAAGCCCUGGGCUUAUAUACUUUCGUAAGCGAUUUUUGAUGGGCUUAUACAAAGGGGGCUUAUAUACGGGGGGGGGGCUUAUACAUGGACGAUCUUUUGUGUUAGUAAUAACAAGUCAUACAUAAACAAGUCAGUCAUAAACAGGAAAAUAAACAUGUAUUAAGCAGCGAUUACUGGG